GAGUUUGAUCAUGGCUCAGGAUGAACGCUAGCGACAGGCCUAACACAUGCAAGUCGAGGGGUAACGAUGGUGCUUGCACCAGGCGACGACCGGCGCACGGGUGAGUAACGCGUAUGCAACCUGCCUUACACAGGGGGAUAGCCCGGAGAAAUCCGGAUUAAUACCGCAUAAUAAUUACAAUUCGCAUGUUUUGUAAUUUAAACCUUCGGGGGUGUAAGAUGGGCAUGCGUAGCAUUAGCUUGUUGGUGAGGUAACUGCUCACCAAGGCGAUGAUGCUUAGAGGGUCUGAGAGGAUAGUCCCCCACACUGGUACUGAGACACGGACCAGACUCCUACGGGAGGCAGCAGUGAGGAAUAUUGGUCAAUGGGCGCAAGCCUGAACCAGCCAUGUCGCGUGCAGGAUGACGGCCCUAUGGGUUGUAAACUGCUUUUUUACAGGAAUAAUGUUAUCUACGUGUAGGUAUUUGAAGGUACUGUAGGAAUAAGGAUCGGCUAACUCCGUGCCAGCAGCCGCGGUAAUACGGAGGAUUCGAGCGUUAUCCGGAUUUAUUGGGUUUAAAGGGUCCGUAGGCGGGUUAGUAAGUCAGUGGUGAAAUCUUGCAGCUCAACUGUAAAACUGCCAUUGAUACUGCUAAUCUUG
rnacentral:rRNA from 1 species